GAUGAAGAACGUAGCGAAAUGCGAUAAGUAGUGUGAAUUGCAGAAUUCAGUGAAUCAUCGAAUCUUUGAACGCACAUUGCGCCCCUUGGUAUUCCAUGGGGCAUGCCUUUUCGAGCGUCAUUUGUACCUUCAAGCUUUGCUUGGUGUUGGGUGUUUGUCCUGAGGGACUCGCCUUAAAGUAAUUGGCAGCCAGUGUUUUGGUUUUGAAGCGCAGCACAAGUCGCGAUUCAAGGCUAUACGCCAGCUUCCACAAGCCUUUUUCACUUUUGACCUCGGAUCAGGUAGGGAUACCCGCUGAACUUAAGCAUAUCAAUAAGCGGAGGA
rnacentral:misc_RNA from 1 species